GCAGAAGCGAGGCUGCUCGCGAGUUGGAGGUGCGCGCGGAUGCGGGCUGUCAGCGCGAGCGGUGGCUGACGCCGUUGAGAAGCACGAACCCUGGGCGCCGAAGAUUUGAGGAGGCGGCCUUGUUAAGUACAGCAUAAGUCGUCCUAUUUCCGAAAGAACUGAAGAAAAAGGAAGAAGAUGGACUUCUUCAUGCUUCAGCCCUUCUCUUAUCCACCUGCUACUUCCUGAGAUCUGUUUCUGCCAUGAUUUUGGAAAGCAACCUUAGUCUUUGUAAACAAGUCCACCAUUCAAAACCCAAUGGAAAUACAGGUUACCUGUGAGAAGUAGAAGAAAAUCCAAACUGCAGGAAAGGGUGAGCUGGCUCUUGAUUACUUAUGGUCACCAUUUUGCUCUUCUGAAAUGUAUAGUAAUCUCAUCGAGUUUGCAACCUGAGCAGAACUGACCCUGUACGAAUCCUACCUUUUCCCUGCUUUGAGUAAGGAUUUUAUCUACCUUAUGGU
rnacentral:lncRNA from 1 species